UAAAGAAAUGGAAAAAGAAACACAAGAAAUGGAGAUGAUCUGCUACAUAAUGGGCGGCGUCUUGGUUUUCCUGUCGAUUCUCUUUUU
rnacentral:ribozyme from 1 species